GGAUUAGAUACCCUGGUAGUCCACGCCGUAAACGAUGUCUACUAGCCGUUGGGUGACUUGAUUGCUUAGUGGCGCAGCUAACGCAGUAAGUAGACCGCCUGGGGAGUACGGCCGCAAGGUUAAAACUCAAAUGAAUUGACGGGGGCCCGCACAAGCGGUGGAGCAUGUGGUUUAAUUCGAUGCAACGCGAAGAACCUUACCAGGCCUUGACAUCCUCGGAACUUUCUAGAGAUAGAUUGGUGCCUUCGGGAACCGAGUGACAGGUGCUGCAUGGCUGUCGUCAGCUCGUGCCG
rnacentral:rRNA from 1 species